rnacentral:lncRNA from 1 species
ACAUUUUUGUAUACCAAAGUGUCCCAUCGUUCUACCAAAAAUAAAAUCACUUUGAGAAACUGGCAAUAAAAUCUAGUCAUUCUCUGGCAAACUUAUUUAUAUAGUUUUUAUUAGCUUCUAAAUUGUUGGCCAAGCUGAGAAGCUGUUUACAUACUAUAUGGUCCCAAAUCAUUGCCAGACAUUUUUUCUGAUGAAAAUGGGGAAAAUGAGUACUCAAGUUAAAUUUGUUUAGAGAAUGAUAUAAACUGACAAAAGUAACCACUGCCCACGCAAAAAACAAAUAGGUUUUAAAAUGCAAUUUCAACUUUUCCCCAAAGAAGCUGCUUUUUCCAAGGUAAUUUCUACUCUGAAGAAUUCUGGAACUUUAUUUUUCAAGGUAGUCCAGUGUUGCUUAUGUAAUACUGUGAAUAUGCAGGGUGUUAAAAAGGAGUAGGAUAAAUCAGAAAAAGAAUAGUCUCAACUGCUGAAACCCCACCUUAAAACACAAUUUACACUCCAGGUAAGAGCCCAGGCUUCACAUUCCCUUAAUUGCUAUCUGAAAUCAAGAAAGGCAAGGAAAACUGCGUGUAUGUUGAUAUUCUGACAUUAACCUCAGCCUGAUGCCCAAAAAUCCGUGCUGUCCUACAAAAAUGAAUGAUUCUAAACUUGUAUUCAUCUUCUCCUCCCAGAGGUUUAUGCAUAUAUAAAGAAUUAAAUAGAUUUUAUGUUAAUCAAGGGUCCAUAAAUCAUUGCCUGUAAUCCUCGAAUAAGAAAACAGCCUGCAGAAGGUCAGGCAGCUAAGAGUAUAUCAUUCUUGGACACAAACUGUGGGUCAAGAUUCUUUCAGAGCCUACUGAAAAUAAAAGCAAUAUGGAAAGAUUACAACUCUCCUUCCAGUCUUUUCUUAAUGCUGGCUACACAUGCAGGAAAGCCGAAUGGUUUCUUGAUCCAGAAAUAGCGUCUUGUCCCCUGAAGCUGUUCUGUCUCCCUGUGAAGUCUGCCUACAAGCUACUGCUCUACCACCUUCUCUUACAAAUUGUGGUAAUAAAUGAUACUAAAAGAAAGUGUUAUUUUGUUGUGAUCCACAGCCUCAGAAUGAAUAAAUGUCACUUUGAUAUACCCAUCCCCCUGUAUGAAAGCAUAAAUCUUUCAAAGAGCUUGUUAAGAUUUCCCAGCUGUUUAAUGUAGCAAGCAUAAUGUAACUUUCUUGUGAAGAGUGCAUUAGAUGGGAAAAUGAAAACAUGUUUGACUUACAACAGUUCAGUAGGCAGAAGAGAGAGAGACAAAUACACUUACUGUAUAUUUCAUAAACGUGCAGCUGCACUUGGCAAAGAAAUAUCUGACUUGCUAAGAAACUGAUAUUUCUAGUCACAAAAUAAGGUUACUUCUAAAAUAUUUUUUCAUUUAUCACCCAGGCUCAAAUACAUUUUAAUAUUCUGUUUUGGUGACUGUUCCUAGUGUAAAUUCUCCUAUCUAUUUGACAUUAGUCACAGGUAUGUAUUGCAAGUAAUUUUCCUGCUUCCCAUAGCAUUCAGG